ensembl:lncRNA
CCUUGGUGUUCUUUACCUGUGUUCUGGAAUAGAACUGAGUGCUCCUUGGUGUUCUUUAUCUGUGUUCUGGAAUAGAACUGAGUGCUCCUUGGUGUUCUUUAUCUGGGUUCUGGAAUAGAAUUCAGUGCCCCUUGGUGUUCUUUACCUGUGUUCUGGAAUAGAACUGAGUGCUCCUUGCUGUUCUUUUUAGCAAAGCUAAACGCUUAAAACAAUCAGCUCCACGAAAAGGAGAUACAAAACUAAUACCAUAGACAUUCAUUGUUUUUGUCCUGAAAAUAAAAACAGACAAAUGAAAUAACUUACAAAUUCCAUGAGAAGAGCCUGUGGUUGUUUCCAGAAGUAUAAGAAGCAGAAGCACAGUUUUACAGACAUGGGCUGCAGUGGUAUAAUGUAGGCUAUGUACCCACUGGGCACAGACGUCAGUUCAACAUCUAGUUUUCAUUUAUAUUUGGUUGAGUUGUCAACUAACAUGAAUCCAAUGUGAAAUUAACUAAAAAUGUCACGAUGACAUUGGAGUUAGGUUAAAAGAUGGGUGUAAAAUAGACUAAAUUCCCAUUGGUUGAUAACUUUCUAAUCCAAUCAGUUUUCCACAUUGAUUGAAUUUCAUCGCAGAUAAAAAAAAAUUGGUUGAAAUGCUGUAAUAACGUUGAUUCAACCAGUUUUUGCCCAGUGGGUAUUUUAUAUGAUACAGCCAGACAGGGUUGGGCUCAAUUCCAUUUCAAUUCCAGUCAAUAGAGAAAGUAAACCAAAUUCCAAAUGUUCUUUAUUGACGAGAAUUGGAAUUUCAGUGUACUUCCUGAAUUGAGCUCAACCUUGUAGCCAGGUUAGCUGGUGGUUACAGCAGGGGAACAUCACCUAGAUUCAGCCACAGAACCAUUUUUACAUUCUUCAGCAGAUGUUCAGAGGUUUGGGAAACAUCAUUAGAAAUUAUUUAUAGACUGCAAAUUGACCACAAGAAGCCACAACACAUAUAUUUGACUAAAAAACAAAUAAUUUCAAACAGAGGGUUGGUAGACAUCAUCCAGAGGGUUGGUAGACAUCAUCCAGGGGUUGAAUAUGAACCCCAAGGGAGACAUCAUCCAGGAGGUUGAAUAUGUUCCCCAGGUAGACAUCAUCCAGGGGGUUGGUAGACAUCAUCCAGGGGGUUGAAUAUGUUUCCAAGGGAGAUGUCAUCCAGGGGGUUGAAUAUGAACCCCAAGGUAGACAUCAUCCAGGGGGUUGGUAGACAUCAUCCAGGGGGUUGGUAGACAUCAUCCAGGGGUUGAAUAUGAACCCCAGGUAGACAUCAUCCAGGGGUUGAAUAUGAACCCCAGGUAGACAUCAUCCAGGGGGUUGAAUAUGAACCCACGGUAGACAUCAUCCAGGGGGUUGGUAGACAUCAUCCAGGGGGUUGAAUAUGAACCCCAAGGUAGACAUCAUCCAGAGGGUUGAAUAUGAACCCCAGGUAGACAUCAUCCAGGGGGUUGAAUAUGAACCCAAGGUAGACAUCAUCCAGAGGGUUGAAUAUGAACCCAAG